ACCUACGGGACGCAGCAGUGAGGAAUAUUGGUCAAUGGGCGGUAGCCUGAACCAGCCAAGUAGCGUGAAGGAUGAAGGUUCUAUGGAUUGUAAACUUCUUUUAUAUGGGAAUAAAGUUUUCCACGUGUGGAAUUUUGUAUGUACCAUAUGAAUAAGGAUCGGCUAACUCCGUGCCAGCAGCCGCGGUAAUACGGAGGAUCCGAGCGUUAUCCGGAUUUAUUGGGUUUAAAGGGAGCGUAGGUGGAUUGUUAAGUCAGUUGUGAAAGUUUGCGGCUCAACCGUAAAAUUGCAGUUGAAACUGGCAG
rnacentral:rRNA from 1 species